AUUAACGGGAAUAUAUGGGAAUUAACGGGAAUUAAUGGGAAUAAACUGGAUUUUUUUUAAUAUUGCUUGUUAUAAUACUGUUAGGCUAUAACAGGGAACUUAAAUGUAGUUGGAAAAAAACAUCUUGCAGCAUAAUCUUGGUUAAAACAACCUGAUUUAAUGCAACUUCAGUUGAAUGUCCUCCCUAUAUUCGUCAAUGACAUGCAGGAAA